AACGAACGCUGGCGGCAGGCUUAACACAUGCAAGUCGAACGCCCCGCAAGGGGAGUGGCAGACGGGUGAGUAACGCGUGGGAAUCUAUCCAUCCCUACGGAACAACUCCGGGAAACUGGAGCUAAUACCGUAUACGCCCUUAGGGGGAAAGAUUUAUCGGGGAUGGAUGAGCCCGCGUUGGAUUAGCUGGUUGGUGGGGUAAAGGCCUACCAAGGCGACGAUCCAUAGCUGGUCUGAGAGGAUGAUCAGCCACAUUGGGACUGAGACACGGCCCAAACUCCUACGGGAGGCAGCAGUGGGGAAUAUUGGACAAUGGGCGCAAGCCUGAUCCAGCCAUGCCGCGUGAGUGAUGAAGGCCUUAGGGUUGUAAAGCUCUUUCACCGAUGAAGAUAAUGACGGUAGUCGGAGAAGAAGCCCCGGCUAACUUCGUGCCAGCCGCCGCAGUAA
rnacentral:rRNA from 1 species